rnacentral:lncRNA from 1 species
CCCAAGUACACAUCUUCUUAUCCACAAGGAUGAAACUGUGUAGGGCUCACCCUGAGGGCUCAUGUGUGGCAUUGAGAGGGUAGCAGUGACCAGAACACCACAAGGCCCACAAGAUGUUUUGAAUGAGGGAACAUUUAAUGUCAUUUGUUUAUAUUGGCCAGGCAUGGUGGCUCACUUCUGUAAUCCUAGCAUAGAGGAGGCCAAGACAGGAGAAUCAUUUGAGGCUAGGCAUUCGAGACCAGCCUGGGCAACACAGUGAGACCCCAUCGCUACCAAAAAAAAAAAAAAAAAAAAAAAAAAUCACAGGAACACAAGAGCCAACCUGAAAGAACUCCCAUGGUCAAAGCUAGAACAAACUGAGCAAUAAAAUAAACACUGUAUUAUUAGAUGAUAACACAUAGGAUAAACAUCCAUGAGCCCAUACUGAUAUAAAAAAUGAUUGAAUAAACAGGAUAAAUGGGGAAGAAAAACAAAUCUCUCACACAGAAUUUCAAUUAAUCUAUUAUUAGAUUAUAUUCCUCCUCACAGGAAGUGGAACUCAAGACUUUCUGUAUUGAAACAUAGCCACAGUCUUUCAUUUAUGUAUUGCCUAUGGCUGCUUUUGCUAUCCAAGGACAGGGUGGAGUAGUUGCAACAGAGACCAUGUGGUCCGCAAAGACAAAAAUAUUUACCCUAUGGCCCUUUAAAGAAAACUGAUUUGACUCCCGCUCUAAUUCUUGCAACCUGCUCCUCUUACCUCCUGCCCCUGAUAAGUACAUUUUACUCAGCAAGCUGGGGUCCCCUUCCCUGCUAGCGCCCCUCAUUAGCAGAAUCCCUCCAGGAAGGCUCACUCUGGCUUGCUUCUGCAGUGCCCACUUGGCCCAUGGAAAGUUUUGGCAUCCUUGUCCCACCAAAUAUGAGGGUGCAAGCCUGUCUCCUGUCCCUUCUCUCUUUGCCGUGCCUCUUGUGGGCUACUUGGACCCACCUCUCUUCUCUG